UGCUGUGAUGCAGGAAGAUGCUGGGGCUCAGGCCAUGGACCUGCAACCUCAAGGACCAUGAGCUACAUGAACUUCUUGUAUUCUUUGUUACUACAACUCUAGUGAUGAGAUCUGGUGAUAAAAAUCUAUUUUCCAGCUUGGUAACCAAGGGAUGUCCCUUCUAGAAGAAUCUUCAGAGUGUAUCACAUGUAGAAGAUGGACCAAAUGCCCUUACAUCAGUUAUACUUCCUCAGGUAGUUUCAGCUUAAAUGGUCAACUCAGCAAUCAACGAUGGGUCACCUUUAACUCCUCUGGAGAACUCGGUGCUUCCUUCCCAAGGAUGCUCCUCUAUUGCCAAGGAGUCACACUCUCAGCUGCUUGCUUAGAGAACUUGUGUGAGUCCAAAGCUUCUUCAUGAAGAAGAAUCUCUUCAUAGGGCUGAAAGAGUGGAAGUUAUCAGUGGAAGAAAAUUUAACUUGACAGAUACGAGGACAUAGAAUCACCAGGGUGAGAAGCCCCUUGGAAGAUCUACCCAAUUAUGUCAGGACAACUCAUGGGCUGGGAGCCCAGGCUGGAUAAAGAGUAGGAAGCAGAUUGACCGCCAACAUUCCUUCUCUGUCUCCUGAUUGUGGACUGAAUGCUUAGCUGUCUCACAGCCCCACUACCAUGCUGUCCUGCUAUGGUGGACUGCAGGCCUUCAAACUGUCAAUGGAAAUA